rnacentral:rRNA from 1 species
UACGAAGGGGGCUAGCGUUGUUCGGAAUUACUGGGCGUAAAGCGCACGUAGGCGGCUUCUUAAGUCAGGGGUGAAAUCCUGGAGCUCAACUCCAGAACUGCCUUUGAUACUGAGAAGCUUGAGUCCGGGAGAGGUGAGUGGAACUGCGAGUGUAGAGGUGAAAUUCGUAGAUAUCAGGAAGAACACCCGUGGCGAAGGCGGCUCUCUGGAACGCAACUGACGCUGAGACGCGAAAGCGUGGGGAGCAAACAGG